rnacentral:rRNA from 1 species
UACACACCGCCCGUCACAUCACGAAAGUGGACUACACUAGAAGCCGGCGUGCCAACCCGCAAGGGGGGUAGCCGUCCAAGGUAUGGUUCAUGAUUGGGGUG